rnacentral:rRNA from 1 species
AGAGUUUGAUCAUGGCUCAGAACGAACGCUGGCGGCAGGCUUAACACAUGCAAGUCGAACGGUUGUAGCAAUACAGCAGUGGCGCACGGGUGAGUAACGCGUGGGAACAUACCUUUCAGUUCGGAAUAACCUCGGGAAACUGAGGCUAAUACCGGAUAUUCUCUCCGGAGGAAAGAUUUAUCGCUGAAAGAUUGGCCCGCGUCAGAUUAGCUAGUUGGUGGGGUAAUGGCCUACCAAGGCUCCGAUCUGUAGCUGGUCUGAGAGGACGACCAGCCACACUGGAACUGAGACACGGUCCAGACUCCUACGGGAGGCAGCAGUGGGGAAUAUUGGACAAUGGGCGAAAGCCUGAUCCAGCCAUGCCGCGUGAAUGAUGAAGGCCUUAGGGUUGUAAAGUUCUUUUGCCAGGGAAGAUAAUGACGGUACCUGGAGAAUAAGCACCGGCUAACUUCGUGCCAGCAGCCGCGGUAAUACGAAGGGUGCUAGCGUUGUUCGGAGUUACUGGGCGUAAAGCGCGCGUAGGCGGUAAUGCAAGUCAGGGGUGAAAUCCCGGAGCUUAACUCCGGAACUGCCUUUGAAACUGCAUUGCUGGAGUGUGUGAGGGGAUAGCGGAAUUCCUAAUGUAGAGGUGAAAUUCGUAGAUAUUAGGAGGAACACCGGUGGCGAAGGCGGCUAUCUGGCACACAACUGACGCUGAGGCGCGAAAGCGUGGGGAUCAAACAGGAUUAGAUACCCUAGUAGUCC